CCUACGGGUGGCAGCAGUGGGGAAUCUUGCACAAUGGGCGAAAGCCUGAUGCAGCAACGCCGCGUGAAGGAAGAAGGCCUUCGGGUCGUAAACUUCUUUCCUUGGGGAAGAAGAACUGACGGUACCCAAGGAGGAAGCCCCGGCUAACUACGUGCCAGCAGCCGCGGUAAUACGUAGGGGGCAAGCGUUAUCCGGAAUUAUUGGGCGUAACGAGUACGUAGGUGGCAACCUAAGCGCAGGGUUAAAGGCAAUGGCCCAACCAUUGUUCGCCCUGCGAACUGGGAUGCUUGAGUGCAGGAGAGGAAAGCGGAAUUCCUAGUGUAGCGGUGAAAUGCGUAGAUAUUAGGAGGAACACCAGUGGCGAAGGCGGCCUGCUGGACCGCGACUGACGUUGAGGCUCGAAAGCGUGGGGAGCGAACAGGAUUAGAUACCCGAGUAGUC
rnacentral:rRNA from 1 species